GCGAGAAUAUUCGACAAUGGACGCAAGUCUGAUCAAGCGAUACUGCGUGAUCGAUGAAGUUUUUCGGAAUGUAAAGAUCUUUUAUGUAGGAAGAACGAUGACGGUACUACAUGAAUAAGGGGUUGCUAACUCUGUGCCAGCAGCAGCGGUAAUACAGAGACCCCAAGCGUUAUCCGGAAUUAUUGGGCGUAAAGGGUGUGUAGGUGGUUUUAUUAGUCAGUUGUUAAAUACCAGGGCUCAACCUUGGUGCUGCAACUGAAACGGUAAAACUUGAGUAUAUGAGAGGUGUGUGGAACUCUAUGUGUAGGGGUAAAAUCCGUUGAUAUAUAGGGGAACACCAAAAGCGAAGGCAGCACACUGGCAUAUUACUGACACUGAGACACGAAAGCGUGGGUAGCGA
rnacentral:rRNA from 1 species